GAUGAACGCUAGCUACAGGCUUAACACAUGCAAGUCGAGGGACCGGCGCACGGGUGAGUAACACGUAUCCAACCUGCCCUUUACUCGGGGAUAGCCUUUCGAAAGAAAGAUUAAUACCCGAUAUAAAGGAUGGGGAUGCGUUCCAUUAGGUUGUUGGUGAGGUAACGGCUCACCAAGCCUUCGAUGGAUAGGGGUUCUGAGAGGAAGGUCCCCCGCAGUGGAACUGGGACACGGUCCAAACUGCGACGGGAGGCAGCAGUGAGGAAGAUAGGUCAAUGAGCGCUAGCCUGAACCCGCCAAGGAGCGUGAAGGAGUAAGGCUUAUGGGUCGUAAACUUCUUUUAUAUAAGGAUAGGUAUUAUAUGAAUAAGGAUCGGCUAACUCCGUGCCAGCAGCCGCGGUAAUUC
rnacentral:rRNA from 1 species